GAUGAACGCUGGCGGCGUGCCUAAUACAUGCAAGUCGAGCGAACAGACGAGGAGCUUGCUCCUCUGACGUUAGCGGCGGACGGGUGAGUAACACGUGGAUAACCUACCUAUAAGACUGGGAUAACUUCGGGAAACCGGAGCUAAUACCGGAUAAUAUCUUGAACCGCAUGGUUCAAUAGUGAAAGACGGAUUUGCUGUCUCUUAUAGAUGGAUCCGCGCCGCAUUAGCUAGUUGGUAAGGUAACGGCUUACCAAGGCAACGAUGCGUAGCCGACCUGAGAGGGUGAUCGGCCACACUGGAACUGAGACACGGUCCAGACUCCUACGGGAGGCAGCAGUAGGGAAUCUUCCGAAAUGGGCGAAAGCCUGACGGAGCAACGCCGCGUGAGUGAUGAAGGUCUUCGGAUCGUAAAACUCUGUUAUUAGGGAAGAACAAAUGUGUAAGUAACUAUGCACGUCUUGACGGUACCUAAUCAGAAAGCCACGGCUAACUACGUG
rnacentral:rRNA from 1 species